AUUGAACGCUGGCGGCAUGCCUUACACAUGCAAGUCGAACGGUAACGGGUCCUUCGGGAUGCCGACGAGUGGCGAACGGGUGAGUAAUAUAUCGGAACGUGCCCAGUAGUGGGGGAUAACUGCUCGAAAGAGCAGCUAAUACCGCAUACGACCUGAGGGUGAAAGGGGGGGAUCGCAAGACCUCUCGCUAUUGGAGCGGCCGAUAUCAGAUUAGCUAGUUGGUGGGGUAAAGGCCUACCAAGGCAACGAUCUGUAGUUGGUCUGAGAGGACGACCAGCCACACUGGGACUGAGACACGGCCCAGACUCCUACGGGAGGCAGCAGUGGGGAAUUUUGGACAAUGGGCGCAAGCCUGAUCCAGCAAUGCCGCGUGCAGGAAGAAGGCCUUCGGGUUGUAAACUGCUUUUGUCAGGGAAGAAAUCUUCUGGGCUAAUACCCCGGGAGGAUGACGGUACCUGAAGAAUAAGCACCGGCUAACUACGUGCCAGCAGCCGCGGUAAUACGUAGGGUGCGAGCGUUAAUCGGAAUUACUGGGCGUAAAGCGUGCGCAGGCGGCUUUGCAAGACAGAUGUGAAAUCCCCGGGCUCAACCUGGGAACUGCAUUUGUGACUGCAAGGCUAGAGUACGGCAGAGGGGGAUGGAAUUCCGCGUGUAGCAGUGAAAUGCGUAGAUAUGCGGAGGAACACCAAUGGCGAAGGCAAUCCCCUGGGCCUGUACUGACGCUCAUGCACGAAAGCGUGGGGAGCAAACAGGAUUAGAUACCCUGGUAGUCCACGCCCUAAACGAUGUCAACUGGUUGUUGGACGGCUUGCUGUUCAGUAACGAAGCUAACGCGUGAAGUUGACCGCCUGGGGAGUACGGCCGCAAGGUUGAAACCCAAAGGAAUUGACGGGGACCCGCACAAGCGGUGGAUGAUGUGGUUUAAUUCGAUGCAACGCGAAAAACCUUACCUACCCUUGACAUGUCAAGAAUUCUGCAGAGAUGUGGAAGUGCUCGAAAGAGAACUUGAACACAGGUGCUGCAUGGCCGUCGUCAGCUCGUGUCGUGAGAUGUUGGGUUAAGUCCCGCAACGAGCGCAACCCUUGUCAUUAGUUGCUACGCAAGAGCACUCUAAUGAGACUGCCGGUGACAAACCGGAGGAAGGUGGGGAUGACGUCAGGUCCUCAUGGCCCUUAUGGGUAGGGCUACACACGUCAUACAAUGGCCGGUACAGAGGGCUGCCAACCCGCGAGGGGGAGCCAAUCCCAGAAAACCGGUCGUAGUCCGGAUCGUAGUCUGCAACUCGACUGCGUGAAGUCGGAAUCGCUAGUAAUCGCGGAUCAGCUUGCCGCGGUGAAUACGUUCCCGGGUCU
rnacentral:rRNA from 1 species